rnacentral:rRNA from 1 species
UACGUAGGCGGCAAGCGUUGUCCGGAAUUAUUGGGCGUAAAGGGAGCGCAGGCGGGAAACUAAGCGGAUCUUAAAAGUGCGGGGCUCAACCCCGUGAUGGGGUCCGAACUGGUUUUCUUGAGUGCAGGAGAGGAAAGCGGAAUUCCCAGUGUAGCGGUGAAAUGCGUAGAUAUUAGGAAGAACACCAGUGGCGAAGGCGACUUUCUGGACGUAAACUGACGCUGAGGCGCGAAAGCCAGGGGAGCGAACGGGAUUAGAAACCGACUGACU